UACGUAGGCAGCAAGCGUUGUUCGGAAUUACUGGGCGUAAAGAGUGUGUAGGCGGUGCUCUAAGUUUGGUGUGGAAAUCUCCCGGCUCAACUGGGAGGGUGCGCCGAAUACUGGCAUGCUCGAGUACAGGAGAGGAAAGCGGAAUUUCUGGUGUAGCGGUGAAAUGCGUAGAUAUCAGAAGGAACACCUGUGGUGUAGACGGCUUUCUGGACUGUAACUGACGCUGAGGAACGAAAGCGUGGGUAGCAAACAGG
rnacentral:rRNA from 1 species